GCUUAACACAUGCAAGUCGAGGGGUAACAGGUCUUUCGGGACGCUGACGACCGGCGCACGGGUGAGUAACGCGUAUGCAAUCUGCCUUCAGCUGGAGGAUAGCCCGGAGAAAUCCGGAUUAAUACUCCAAAUGCUAUCGGACGGCAUCGUCUGAUAUCUAAAGCUCCGGCGGCUGAUGAUGAGCAUGCGUGACAUUAGUUAGUUGGUGAGGUAACGGCUCACCAAGACUACGAUGUCUAUGGGGUCUUAAAGGAUGAUCCCACACACUGGUACUGAGACACGGACCAGACUCCUACGGGAGGCAGCAGUGAGGAAUAUUGGUCAAUGGGCGAAAGCCUGAACCAGCCAUGCCGCGUGAAGGAUGACGGCCCUACGGGUUGUAAACUUCUUUUGUACGGAAAGAACAAAGGCUACGUGUAGCCUCUUGACGGUACCGUACGAAUAAGCAUCGGCUAACUCCGUGCCAGCAGCCGCGGUAAUACGGAGGAUGCAAGCGUUAUCCGGAUUUAUUAGGUUUAAAGGGUGCGUAGGCGGAGUUUUAAGUCAGUGGUGAAAUCUUGUGGCUCAACCAUGAAACUGCCAUUGAUACUAUUGCUCUUGAAUGUAGUUGAGGUAGGCGGAAUGUGUAGUGUAGCGGUGAAAUGCUUAGAUAUUACACAGAACACCAAUUGCGAAGGCAGCUUACUAGACUAUGAUUGACGCUGAGGCACGAAAGCGUGGGGAGCGAACAGGAUUAGAUACCCUGGUAGUCCACGCUGUAAACGAUGAUCACUGGUUGUUGGCGAUACACUGUCAGCGACUGAGCGAAAGCAUUAAGUGAUCCACCUGGGGAGUACGUCGGCAACGAUGAAACUCAAAGGAAUUGACGGGGGCCCGCACAAGCGGAGGAACAUGUGGUUUAAUUCGAUGAUACGCGAGGAACCUUACCUGGGCUUAAAUGUAGCAUGACUGCUGUCGAAAGAUAGUUUCCCUUCGGGGCAAGUUACAAGGUGCUGCAUGGCUGUCGUCAGCUCGUGCCGUGAGGUGUCGGGUUAAGUCCCAUAACGAGCGCAACCCUUAUCGUUAGUUACCAGCGCGUAAAGGCGGGGACUCUAACGAGACUGCCACCGUAAGGUGUGAGGAAGGUGGGGAUGACGUCAAGUCAGCACGGCCCUUACGUCCAGGGCUACACACGUGUUACAAUGGCCAGUACAAAGGGCAGCUACCAGGCGACUGGAUGCUAAUCUCCAAAACUGGUCUUAGUUCGGAUUGAAGUCUGCAACUCGACUUCAUGAAGUUGGAUUCGCUAGUAAUCGCGCAUCAGCCACGGCGCGGUGAAUACGUUCCCGGGCCUUGUACACACCGCCCGUCAAGCCAUGGAAGCUGGGGGUACCUGAAGUCCGUAACCGCAAGGA
rnacentral:rRNA from 1 species